rnacentral:lncRNA from 1 species
ACCACAUGGGGAAGCAGAUCUCAUACUGAUUUCUGCUGACAUAACUUAGGGGUUAUGUCAGCAGACAUAACCUCAUUCUUCUAAUGCAUGUGGAUGGGUAGAGAAGCUACUACACAAAAAAGAAAGUAUCUUUGUGAGCGAAAGGCAUGUAUUGUGUUUAUAUCCCCAUCUAUGCCAAAGGUGCAGAAUUUUACCUGUAGCAUUGUUUUGUUUUAAGACAGAGUCUGGUGCAGCCCAGGUUGGCCUCAAACUCACUAUGUAGCUGAACAUACUCUUACUCCUGAUCCUCCCAUGUGCCAAGAUCGCAGGCAGGUGUCAUCAUGCCAGACGAAUCUUACCUUUCUUGUUCCCUCACGGCCACCAUUUCUUCAAAUCAGCAUCAAAACAGUUUCAGCCGUUAGGCUGGAGACAAGUCACACUUGCUAGAAGACGACAGUGAGGAUGGUCCCAAGUUACACAAUGAAAUAAGGACGUAAACGAUACCAGGGCUGAGUAUGGCUCACUGUCAUUUAAAGAUUUCAUAUUUAUUUUCAGUUAUAUGGAUUUGUGUUUCUGAGUGUGAUGUCUCCACCUUUAAAAUGUGAGUUUUAUUUGUCUGUAUGACUUAGAAGUGAUGAGCACCAGUGUAACACCAGAGCGUUGACUUGUCCUUCCCCUCCCCACAGCUGAUGGGAUUACAAGUUUGUACACCAUGCCCACUUGCCUAGACCAGUCCAGUCUUGAAUCUGUUAUGGUACAUGUAACCGUAGAUACAUAAAUCCAAACAGGUCUCUAAGUAGUGCAGGCCCUCCUCAGACGUGCAGAACUGGAUGCACCUGUGGGUGUGUGCAUGCUGUGACUGGGGAUAGUGCAGGACAGAGUUCUUCAGAGACUCUCCAAAAGCUCACGUGACAACCUGCCUGGUAUACACAGCA